GUCGAGUGAUCCACCCACCUCAGCUUCCCAGAGUGCUGGGAUUACAGGGAAUGUGGAGACGCUGGUAGCAGGGCCGGAAAGGCUCCGGGCAGAGCAGGUUUUCUGGACCACACACACACUGCCCCGGCGCCCACCGCAAGCCGCUCCUCCCCAUGCCCGUGACAGUGCCCCGCUGGUUUCCGCCGCGCUGCCGGGACUGGAGCUCAGACGGCCUUCGCCAGCUCCCCCCACGCAGUUCCCUGCUGACCUGGGCAAGUCCCCACCCUCGCUGCAGGUUCGAGGACCACCCCGCUUUCCCGAGAGGAGCCGGGCGGCGGGUACUUAUCUCCGACCUCCGGCGAGUGGGAGAGGCAGCGCGACCGCCUGUCCUCCAGCCGUGGGGACCGUAUGGUAC